rnacentral:rRNA from 2 species
UUAAUUGAAGAGUUUGAUCAUGGCUCAGAUUGAACGCUGGCGGCAGGCCUAACACAUGCAAGUCGAGCGGCAGCGACUUAACUGAACCUUCGGGGAACGUUAAGGGCGGCGAGCGGCGGACGGGUGAGUAAUGCCUGGGAAUAUGCCCUGAUGUGGGGGAUAACUAUUGGAAACGAUAGCUAAUACCGCAUAAUCUCUUCGGAGCAAAGAGGGGGACCUUCGGGC